rnacentral:rRNA from 1 species
UAUUAGCUAGUUGGAGUGAAAGGACUACCAAGGCGAUGAUACAUAGCCGACCUGAGAGGGUGAUCGGCCACACUGGGACUGAGACACGGCCCAGACUCCUACGGGAGGCAGCAGUAGGGAAUCUUCGGCAAUGGGGGCAACCCUGACCGAGCAACGCCGCGUGAGUGAAGAAGGUUUUCGGAUCGUAAAACUCUGUUGUUAGAGAAGAACGUUAAGUAGAGUGGAAAAUUACUUAAGUGACGGUAUCUAACCAGAAAGGGACGGCUAACUACGUGCCAGCGGCCGCGGUAAUACAA